AAGCACAAUCGGGGGGGGCAUUUACAAUUUACUAUGUGAAUUGGAAACUUGGUUGAUAAUGUUUUACUGUAUGGGAACAUGCUUUUGAUGAAUGAUUUCUCUCUGAUCUGCUCUCCCCCUGUAUAUCCUCUACAGACAUCUCUGGACUGGAUUCCUUCCCCUCCUGAGACAGACGGACAACAACCACACGUUUUCACCCUCGGGGAUGAAAUAUGCAACGGCUGUAAGAAGGGCCGCCACGUUCUGAAGUCCAAAGUGCUGUUUUCUACCAGUGACAUUUUCCCCCCCUUGAUGCGCCGUUAACGCUCCGAGGCUUCUAAGAAUAUCUUCAAAUGCCUCUUACCCGGGGGAGUGGAGUUCUCUCUUGUCAUUGUUUAAAAGGUAGGCUACUUUCUCUCUCUGCUUUACGUUAUUGGCAGUUUAUAUCGAUGAUUUGUGUUUGUGAACAGAUCUGUGUGUCGUGGUAGUUCUGUGUGGUGUGGUCUGAGGGCAGUUAUCCAGUAAUAGAUAGAGCGACGUGUCUAAUUGUUUUUAAGAGCUCUACUACUCUCUCUCUCUCCCGGAGCACAGUGCACAGAGCCGAGGCUACAGGCUGCUCCACUCGCUCUCUCCCACUCAUCCUAUUCUGCCUGUUUAGACAGCGACACAGAGACGGAGACGCUGAGAAAGGCACUGAGCUGUGCUAGAAAUAAAGCCAGGCACACAUACCUCUCUCCCAGGGUGUCUCAAAACGCUCCCUUUCAGCUGCGGUUCUCCCUCAGCCGGUUAGUUAGUUCCCCUCGACGCGCCGCCAGGUAGGGAUGCAGGCUGUGCCGGCGAGAGCUGAGGUAGCUCGCUCGUGUGUGUGUGUGUGCGUGCGUGUGUGUUUGAGGGAGAGAGAAGGAGAGCUCCUGCAAGUAGCAGAUGUGCGUUGAGAGAGAGCGGUGUGAGAGAGAGUUGCCUGGCAAGCGUGCAGACGAGGCCCGAGGGGAGACCCGGCUCGCAUCCUGUGAGGAGUCAGACACUCUACAUGUAAGCGUGUAAAGGUCCCCCCCACUCACACACAUACACACACACACACACACGCUGCGCUCACUCACUCACACACUCACUUACCCUCUCACUCACUAGCCAAAAGCAGCGGGAAAAACCCCCACAAAAAAAUAGUUUUUGAAGGUCACUCUC
rnacentral:lncRNA from 1 species